UUUUUUUUUUAAGGGGCUUUUUCUUGGGUCUUUUUCUUUUCCCACUUUUCUUUUUUGGUACCAGGAAUCAAACCCAGUGCCUUGAGCUUGCCAGGGAGGUGCUGUGCUGCUGAGUUACAUCCCUGGCCCAACAUCUCAAAUCUUAUGAAGAAUAUCCAAAAGUGAAAGAAACUCCAAGUAGGAAAAAUUAAAAGGGAUUCACACCUUGACAUUUUAUGUUUUUGUUUUUGGUACCGGGGAUCAAACUCAGGUCCCUUGUGCUUGCGCAGCAGGUGGCAAAACCACUGAGCUAAAUCCCUGGCCCCUAUCCUUGACAUUUUAUAAUGGAAAUGCCAAACACAAAAACCAGAGAGAACUUUGUAAGCAGCCAGGGCCUAGAGUAAAGAUAGCAAAUGUUUUUUAGACCUUUCAGUGAUAAACAUCCUACUCCAAAACAUGUGCCAUAGGUUCACCACCACUGGGCCAGAGCAUCAGCAGCCACAGAGGCCCAUUAAGAGGCAGUGACCCACCAAGGGAAAAAACACUGCUAGUCCAGAAUCAGCCUGCAGAAAAACUAUCCUCUGAUUCUACUUUUGGGCAGGUAAAGUGAGAAGUCUGUGGAGCACUUUGCAGCAAAAUACAGAGCUUAUUAGACCACUUAAAAGUCUUUUGAAAUUGUCCUAAAGUGUCUAACAAAUGAAGCAACAUUUGCUUAGUGAACUCUACAGCAACUCCAAGACAGCCAACACCCACUCCCAGUCACUGCAGCCCCAGGCUGGAAGCUAGGGUCAGAAGAAGGCUCCUCAUCUUAGUUUCCCUCAAGGCUUAUGGAAAUCUCUGGGAGCAGCAGAGAGGCAGGCUGCUCACCUGGGGCCUUGGGUGAGUGCUUCAAGGGCAGGUCCUUCCCCAGCUCCAGUCCUGCCCCUAGAUGGAGACUCUACCCCAGGCCCAGCAACUGAGAACCAUCACCCUCAAGUCAGCUACCAUGUAGGGUAGGAUAUCCUUGCUGGGAGCAUCAAGCUAAGGACAGUGACUAUUGCCCAGCUUAGUGGGUUCCUGGCUUUGCCUAAGGGAGCAGGAGUGCUCUGUUACUCCUUAGAGUCUAUUUCCUGUGGAAUGGUGUGGGAAAGCACAAGCCUUUGAUUGCUCGUAACCACAGUUCCAAAUGAGAACAGGCUACACCCUAUGCCAGUCUGCUUACCUGAGCAGAGCCUAAGAUUGAGCUAAAAUGGCCACUGCUCAACCAACAAUCCCGUUACAGAAACAGCAGCCCAACAACCUUACCCCAAAAACCAAACUCAUCAGGGACCAGAUUUAACUACACAUAACUGUCCCAACCAGGUGUACUCAACUCAAUGGUACUGUAAAAAACAACAGAGCAACCAAGCAAUAAUUACUAGAGCUUGAGAACUGGGUGUGAGCCUGCCAAGUCACUAGCCAGCAAGAAACAGGGCAGAAUCAGACACAAGAGAAGGGGGACAGCCACUCUUAAAUCCUACAAUAUACCAGCUAAAAUGUACAGAUCUUCACCAAAAAACACAAGAUGUGCACAAAAAACAGGAAAAUGUGUCCCCUGCACAGGGAAGCAGGGAGCAGAAUCUGCCUGUGAGAGUGUGGCAGCACAAGACAUCAGAUGCAAAAGGGCAUCAAAUAAGUCUUUGUAAAUAUUUUCAGAGAACUGAAGAAAACUGUUUAAAGGGAUAAAAAAAAAAAGUACUAUCAAACACAAAAUCAUUAAGCGGUAAAAGUCAUAAAGAGGGUUUUUUUUUGAGACAUGGUCUCACUAUGUAGUUCAGGUUGGCCUUGAACUCACUAUGGAGCCCAGGCUGGCCUCGAUUUCUCUGCAGUCCUCCUGGCUCAGCCUCCACCACACUCAACAAUAAAGAAGAUUCUAAUGAAAAUUCUUUUUUUUUUUUUGAAGCGGGGGUCUUGUUUUAUAGUUCACACUGGCCUCGAACUUGUGGCGAUUGUGCCUCAGCCUCCCAAGUGCUGGGAUUACAGGCAUGUGGCACACACCUGGCUGUAAUGGAAAUUCUUGUACAAAAACUAACAUGAGAAGCUCACUAGUAGCUUGAUGGGAAGUGAACUGAAGAGAAAUAUCAGGAAGCCUGAAAAUCUAUUGAUAAGGAUUAUGCAAUCUAAACAACAGAAACAAAAAGAAUGGAGUAUCAAAAGAAUGCAGGGAACCAUUAAUUGCAUCAGCAUGCAUUACAGCAGAAAGAAGCCUGGAAAAAAAUACUAAAGAAAAUUCACAUCUGCAGAUUCAACCACCUGUGGCUUAAAAAAACAAAACUGCAUCAGAACUAAGCAUGUAAAUUUGUUUUUUCUUGUCAUUCUUUAAACAAUAUAGUACAGCUGUUUACCCAGCAUUUACACUGUAUUAUGUAUUAUAAAUCAUCUAGAGAGGAUGUGGAUUUUAUAGGAGAAUAUACAGAAGCUAUACAAUAAGUUACAUCCCCAGCUCUUUUACAGUUUUGAGGGAGGGUCUCACUAAGUUGUCUAGGCUGAACUUGAACCUGCAAUCCUGCCUCACUCUCCCAGAGUGCUGGGAUUUCAGGUGUCCACCACAACCAGCUUAUACCCUUUCUCUACAAAGGAUUUGAGCUAACUUGAUUUGCUUACCUCUUGUGGAAGACGAUAUGAACAAUAUUGGGCUGUUUUUGUCUAAUUUUGAUGUUAAAGGAAUGCUGGCCUCAUAAAGUGAACAGUGAAAUGCAUCUUCCUUUGAUAAUUUCUGGAAGGAUUUUAGAAACCAGUGCUAUUUUUUAAUGGUUGGAAUUUAUCAGUGAAAGCAUUUGGGCCUGGACAUUUCUCUUACAGAAGAUUUAUAACUGGGAAUCCAACUGGUUUAGGUCUUUUCAGGUUGCUAUUUCAAACUAUUUUUUUUUUUUUGGUACUGGGGAUUGAACUCGGGACCUUGCACUUGUGAGGCAGGAGGUGGAACCACUGAGCUACAUCCCUGGCCCCUGAGGUUGCUAUUUCAUCCUGGGUGAGACCAGUAGUUUACGGUUUUCAAGGAACUGAAGGAAAUUUCAUCCAAGUUGCAAAAUCCAAGUUUUCAGUAGUACUUCCUCAUCAGCUCACAUUCUGUAGUCUGCAGUGACACAUUUUUACUUCCCGAUAUUAAUUUGUAUCUUCUAUCAUUUGUUAUGAGUUCGUCAAUUUUUCAAAGAAAAAUUGUUUCAAAGAAAAUUGUUGGGUUCAUUUUUCUUACUGUUUGUAAUUUCACUGAUUUCUUCUGUUGUCUUUACUAUUUCUGCUUCCUUUGGAUUUACUCUGAUUUUUGAUUCUUUUGUAUUUUGAGAUGAAGCUUCACUGUGUUGCCCACACUGAUAACGAACUCAUAGGCUCAAGGGAUCCUCCUGCCUCAGCCUCCUGGGCACCUGGGAUUACAGGGGACCAAAUUCAGGAUCUUGGACUUGAAGGCAUGGUGCCCUGAGCUAAAUCCCCGGCCCUCACAGGUCUGCCUCAUACCCACCCCACUGCCAGGCAACUGAAGAGACGCCACCCCAAUAGACCGAGGCGAAGCUGCUUAGGCGUCUGAUCUUCGAACAGCUCGAACUUCGAGUCUUUCUGGAGCUCCCACUCCCUCCUGGCCACUAGGCACACCCUCCCAUUCCUGAAGGCCCUCAUCCUCCUCCGGACCAUUGCUGGCACACGGUCCCCAAAGACGGAAGAACUUGAAGACUCAUCCUGCAUUUCCCGACAGACUCGGCCAGAGUAGCCCUGGGGGCGGGGCGGCUUUCCCCAGGGACAACUGCGACCGCUUGGGGUGCAGAGGGCCGGCCCGGCAGGCCGUUGCUCCCUGCAGCCGAGGGCCCCUCCCAGCAGGCCUCCCCGGCCCGUGCCCCAGCUCCUGUGCAGCCCGGCCCAUGGCGGCCCUUACCGGGCUC